AUUGAACGCUGGCGGCAUGCCUUACACAUGCAAGUCGAACGGCAGCAUGGAGAGCUUGCUCUCUGAUGGCGAGUGGCGAACGGGUGAGUAAUGCAUCGGAACGUACCGUGUAAUGGGGGAUAACGUAGCGAAAGUUACGCUAAUACCGCAUACGACCUGAGGGUGAAAGCAGGGGAUCGCAAGACCUUGCGUUAUACGAGCGGCCGAUGUCAGAUUAGCUAGUUGGUGAGGUAAAGGCUCACCAAGGCGACGAUCUGUAGCGGGUCUGAGAGGAUGAUCCGCCAGACUGGGACUGAGACACGGCCCAGACUCCUACGGGAGGAAGCAGUGGGGAAUUUUGGACAAUGGGGGCAACCCUGAUCCAGCCAUGCCGCGUGAGUGAAGAAGGCCUUCGGGUUGUAAAGCUCUUUCGGCCGGGAAGAAAUCGCACAGGCUAAUACUCUGUGUGGAUGACGGUACCGGCAUAAGAAGCACCAGCUAACUACGUGCCAGCAGCCGCCGUAA
rnacentral:rRNA from 1 species